GGAGAAAAUAUUUGCAAAAGACAUCUGGUAAAGGACUAAUAUCCAAACUAUAUAAAGAAUUCCUGCAGGCAGUCCGCCCCUGACCCCGCACUGGCUGGCUUCAUGAAAACCCUAGGCGGUGGAACUUGGGGGAGCGAAGAGAGAAAAGCCGUUUGCAAGGUUCCUGGGUGGAGCUCCCCAUGAACGGCAGCAAUGGCAAUGAUAAUGGCAAUGGGAAGAAUGGGGGGCUGGAGCACGUGCCCUCCUCAUCCUCCAUCCACAAUGGGGACAUGGAGAAAAUUCUUCUGGACGCACAGCAUGAAUCCGGACAGAGCAGUUCAAGAGGCAGUUCUCAUUGCGACAGCCCUUCCCCACAAGAAGAUGGGCAGAUCAUGUUUGAUGUGGAAAUGCACACAAGCAAGGACCAUAGCUCUCAGUCAGAAGAAGAAGUUGCAGAAGGAGAAAAAGAAGUGGAUGCUCUGAAGAAAAGCGUAGACUGGGUGUCCGACUGGUCCAGUAGACCUGAAAACAUUCCACCCAAGGAGUUCCACUUCAGGCACCCUAAACGUUCCGUCUCCUUAAGCAUGAGGAAAAGUGGAGCCAUGAAGAAAGGGGGCAUCUUCUCCGCAGAGUUUCUUAAGGUGUUCAUUCCAUCUCUCUUCCUCUCCCAUGUUCUGGCUUUGGGGCUAGGCAUCUACAUUGGAAAACGACUGAGCACGCCUUCUGCCAGCACCUACUAAGGGAAGAGAAGAGUCCCUGGGCCA